rnacentral:tRNA from 9 species
GCUCAGAUGGUGGAAUGGUAGACACUAGGGACUUAAAAUCCCUUGGGCGUAGGCCCGUGUGGGUUCGAGUCCCACUCUGAGCA